rnacentral:tmRNA from 1 species
AUAGACUGGCGGGCAGUUGCGUCUCAGGGCGCGCUCGCGAGAAAGUUCUGAGACUGGCAGAGGCAGACCUAUCGAUCGGUUACUGCAACUGCGAGAAACUGUAGAUCGAAGACACACGUGGUAGGCUUCGGUGAUUCCACUUCGGACCCGGGUUCGACUCCCGGCAUCUCCACUG